rnacentral:lncRNA from 1 species
CUAGCCAAUAGAAUUCCAAACCACAGACUCCAAGUCAGUUAUGCUCUUUUCUCAUUCUUGUUGUUGUUUUCACAAAGACACAAAGAAAAGAACGAAAGAUGGUGAUUGAGCAGGACAGAAAUUACUUGCAUCUCCACCAAACAAAAAUCUAUCAGCUAACCCCGCCCCAACAGAGCUGCAACUUAGCCCCAUCAAUGGAGAGCCAGUCUAAGGAGCACGCUGAGCGCCUCACUGAAGAGCACCCAGGCCUCAGGGUGCUUGCCAUUGCCAAGUUCUGAGCAAUUCUUCUCCAGCACGCUCUACCCUGGCCUGGGGCAAGUCCUCUCUUGUCCCUCUGCCUAGCCAGGUCCCUGCUCUAUCCAGCCUGUUUGAGACCCUCAUUAGCCCUUCUCUCUUUUAGAAACCUUCCGUCCAAACUGGAUGAACAGCUAUUUCAGCAGCUCCCUAUGGCUUCGUCUCUUCAUUCACGGCAUGCCACGUGGCAGGAACCUGGAGACGCUGAGCAUCAGCCAUGGAUCACGAUGCUCUCUGAACGGGAAGGUGGCCGAGGGGCUCCAACAGCUCCUCACCAUGAGCCAUUCCAUUAUAGGCACUGUGUUGAAGCCCCAGCCACCGAGACCUGAGAGGUCCUAUUUUACUCUGGGUCAUGGGCAGAGAGGAGAAACAGCUGGAAAGAUAAAGCCAGAACUAGGAAAAUGGCCAUAGAAGACCACGGUGAAACUCAUCAAAUAGAACACUUAAAAUAUGUGUAUUUCAUGUUAUGCUAAUUAUUCUGGAUUAACCUGAAUUUUAAAAAUUAAAUUUGAAAAAGGAAACAAAGACAUUGAUCACCAUUCCUCUAUUCACGAGCCUACCCUGUACACAGUGGUGCAUACUUCAGACAUGGUGCCUGCCCUUCUGAAGUUUAUGGGAAAGUGACUUGGGAAAACACUAACCUUCCGUUACAUAUUUCAUGCUUUUC